rnacentral:misc_RNA from 1 species
GAUGAAGAACGCAGCGAAAUGCGAUACGUAAUGUGAAUUGCAGAAUUCAGUGAAUCAUCGAAUCUUUGAACGCACAUUGCGCCCGCCAGUAUUCUGGCGGGCAUGCCUGUCCGAGCGUCAUUUCAACCCUCGAACCCCUCCGGGGGGUCGGCGUUGGGGAUCGGGAACCCCUAAGACGGGAUCCCGGCCCCGAAAUACAGUGGCGGUCUCGCCGCAGCCUCUCCUGCGCAGUAGUUUGCACAACUCGCACCGGGAGCGCGGCGCGUCCACGUCCGUAAAACACCCAACUUCUGAAAUGUUGACCUCGGAUCAGGUAGGAAUACCCGCUGAACUUAAGCAUAUCAAUAAGCGGAGGA